GGGGAUAUAGCUCAGUAGUGAGCCUAUGCUUUGUACUCAUGAGGCCCUGGGUUUGAUCCCUGGCAUCUCCA
rnacentral:tRNA from 1 species